rnacentral:rRNA from 1 species
UACGUAGGGUGCGAGCGUUGUCCGGAAUUAUUGGGCGUAAAGGGCUCGUAGGCGGUUUGUCGCGUCGGGAGUGAAAACCUUGGGCUUAACUCAGGGCUUGCUUUCGAUACGGGCAGACUAGAGGUAUGCAGGGGAGAACGGAAUUCCUGGUGUAGCGGUGAAAUGCGUAGAUAUCUGGAGGAACACCGGUGGCGAAGGCGGCAUCCUGGACCGGUAUUGACGCUGAGGCGCGAAAGCCAGGGGAGCAAACGGGG